rnacentral:lncRNA from 1 species
AAAUUUUCAAAGGUUUUGUUUAGUAGCACUAUACAAAUCCUUGGUAAUUCCAAUUUCUUUUCUACAACAGUAAAAUUAUCCCUUGUCUUAGGGAGGGUUGUUCACAACCUGAUAAUAACAAACACAGGUCAAAGUACGGCCUUGUACACAGGGCCUUGAUCCAGACCAAACAGCAAGCUUUGAGGGACUCCACAAUUAUUGGUUUACACAAUUCGAACAGGAAAACCAACUAUCUAAUUUAUAUAUCCAAACGGGAAAAUACCAAUGAACC